rnacentral:tRNA from 4 species
CCCGUGGUAGCUCAGCCUGGUAGAGCUUCCGGCUGUAGACCGGGUUGUCGGUGGUUCAAUUCCGCCCCGCGGGACCA